CAGUCGAGCGAGCGGAACCACAGAUUUACUUCGGUAAUGACGUUGGGAAAGCGAGCGGCGGAUGGGUGAGUAACACGUGGGGAACCUGCCCCUAAGUCUGGGAUACCAUUUGGAAACAGGUGCUAAUACCGGAUAAUAAAGCGGAUCGCAUGAUCAGCUUUUGAAAGGCGGCGUAAGCUGUCGCUAAGGGAUGGCCCCGCGGUGCAUUAGCUAGUUGGUAAGGUAACGGCUUACCAAGGCGACGAUGCAUAGCCGAGUUGAGAGACUGAUCGGCCACAUUGGGACUGAGACACGGCCCAAACUCCUAUGGGAGGCAGCAGUAGGGAAUCUUCCACAAUGGACGCAAGUCUGAUGGAGCAACGCCGCGUGAGUGAAGAAGGUUUUCGGAUCGUAAAGCUCUGUUGUUGGUGAAGAAGGAUAGAGGUAGUAACUGGCCUUUAUUUGACGGUAAUCAACCAGAAAGUCACGGCUAACUACGUGCCAGCAGCCGCGGUAAUACGUAGGUGGCAAGCGUUGUCCGGAUUUAUUGGGCGUAAAGCGAGCGCAGGCGGAAAAAUAAGUCUAAUGUGAAAGCCCUCGGCUUAACCGAGGAACUGCAUCGGAAACUGUUUUUCUUGAGUGCAGAAGAGGAGAGUGGAACUCCAUGUGCAGCGGUGGAAUGCGUAGAUAUAUGGAAGAACACCAGUGGCGAAGGCGGCUCUCUGGUCUGCAACUGACGCUGAGGCUCGAAAGCAUGGGUAGCGAACAGGAUUAGAUACCCUGGUAGUCCAUGCCGUAAACGAUGAGUGCUAAGUGUUGGGAGGUUUCCGCCUCUCAGUGCUGC
rnacentral:rRNA from 1 species